CUUCCAGCAUCCCAGGUGAUGUAAUGUUGGUUUAAGGGCGUACACGCCUCUGUGUGCUAAUGAACAGAGCAGGCUGAGGCAAGUCACUGCACAGGCGGCUCUGGAAGCCGCUAGCGAGAAAUGCACCUCGGUGUGUGUGUGUGUGUGUGUGAAGUGGCCACCACACGCUCCCCGUGCCCCUUUGAUGCCGGGAAGGAAUGCUCUGCUUUCCGAACCAAAGGCACUCGGUUUUGCCUGUGGGCUAUGCGGAAAUUUGAGAAGGUGGAAGCAAGAAGCAGCUUGUUCUGUCAGGGAGGAAAAGCAGUCUGCAGCUAUUUACAGUGCACACUGCAGCUCUUAAACGAGGUGGCCCGAGCGCCUGCAAUGGUUAAACCCCAUUUAACCAUUCUUUCGGCAGGGCUGUUCCUUGCCCUGCUGUGCUGGCCGCUAGCAGCUGGCUUUUGCCCCCAUCCUUGCAGCAGGCUGAUCCGAGGGGUUCGCACUUGGUGACUCUCGUCUGAGAGCCCCCUGUGGUUUUUUCAGUCUUGCAAGGCACGGUGCUUUCGUUCCAGCGGUCUCUCCGCGGCAUGACGAGGGAAGCUGUUUCCUGUUUGUGUGUCUGUGAUGGACGUAACAGCAACUUUUACUGCACGUGAGGCAUCGGGGGUUUUUGUUCCUUCUUUCUCCAACACUUUCUGGCAUUUGAGAUCUGAAGAGUCCCAUGAAAUAGUCUCUGCCGGCAGCAGCCAGUUAACCCUUCUUGUUUCCAUCGUUGACCUGCAGCUCUGGAGUGUUUCUUCCCUUCUCAAGCACCAGAACAUUGCAGGCAGUAGCAGAUUUCAAAUACAGUACUGAGCUGAAAAAUUAUUGUGUACAAAUACAUAUGGCAAGCUCCUGCAAAAUUUAAGAAUAUGAAAUCAACAGCAGGCCAGGCAAAUUUAAUUGAAGUCCACAGAGAUUAACUCAAGAAAGCAGUACACCAGAAUAAAAAAGAAUUACAAGUUUUAUGAAGCUACAAAAUAGUAUAUAUGACUUACGGUGUGUUAGCAAAGCUAGGGUUGAACCAGUAUACAGGGAAAAAAAAAAAAAGAAAUCACUUCUGGUUCUCAAUAAAGAAAAGAUUCUGCAGUUUAUUACAUGGCUUGUCUGUGUUGGUGCUGCAGGGCUAGAAGAAAUAAAAAGUAAUAAAAUCUGA